AUUGAACGCUGGCGGCAUGCCUUACACAUGCAAGUCGAACGGUAACGGGCCUUCGGGUGCCGACGAGUGGCGAACGGGUGAGUAAUGUAUCGGAACGUACCAUUGAGUGGGGGAUAACGUAGCGAAAGUUACGCUAGUACCGCAUAUUCUCUCCGGAGGAAAGCAGGGGACCGCAAGGCCUUGCGCUCUUUGAGCGGCCGAUAUCAGAUUAGCUAGUUGGUGGGGUAAAAGCUCACCAAGGCGACGAUCUGUAGCGGGUCUGAGAGGAUGAUCCGCCACACUGGAACUGAGACGCGGUCCAGACUCCUACGGGAGGCAGCAGUGGGGAAUUUUGGACAAUGGGGGCAACCCUGAUUCAGCCAUGCCGCGUGAGUGAAGAAGGCCUUCGGGUUGUAAAGCUCUUUCAGCCGGGAAGAAAUCGUAUCAGCUAAUACCUGGUGCGGAUGACGGUACCGGCAUAAGAAGCACCGGCUAACUACGUGCCAGCCGCCGCCGUAAGAC
rnacentral:rRNA from 1 species